GUGACAAGUCAAUCAGAAAGAAAGAACCAAAUGAGGUUUGGUGCUGUGGAAGAAAAACUCAAUUCUCGUCCCACUGCUGUCAUAAUCUGGCUGUGGGGUCAUGGUCUGUCUUGGUGCCGUGGGUAGUAGAGGUAAGUAGCUGGCUUCCCUUCCCUGUUGGAAGAAGAUGCCUGAUUCACACCUAGGAAAUGCAAGAGCCUCUUCAUUUCUGGCUUUGACUGUCUCUGACGGUUUUUCCUUGUGCCGUUUUCGGAGCAAAUGUUCUCUCUUGCCUUCUGUCCCUCCCCUGCGUUUAACUCCAGUUCUUCUCUUGCUUUUUCUGUCCUGUUCCCAUACCCUACCUUCCUAAGUGAAGCGUCCCAUACGGACACUCUGUACCGACUGAAACAAUAUUUGGUAGUCUUUAAUUCAUAUUAUCCUUCCAAGUUGUUUGUACCUUUUGUUGGGAGAUUCUGAUGAAGCGUGUCACUGUAGUGUAAUAUUUUAAACAGAGAUAGGAACUUACAUUUAUUUUUCCCCCUUGAGGCAGGUACACAAAAGAGCAAUGGCUUAUGUUCAGUUUUGCCCAGAAUGUAGUGAUUAAAGCUUUGUUUUAGGAAGUGGGUUCUUGAAAAAAAUGGGUGGUGCAAGUAUGUUAUUCUUUGACUCUUUGCCCACCCACAUUUUCGCAGUCUUCCUGGAGAACUCAGCAAUUCAGUCAGAAUUCGGAACUUUAAUUAUGCAUUCUUAUUAGCUUCUGAAAUCGGGUCCUGAUUUUCUCCAGUGCUUCAGUCCUUAACUCACCAGUCCUGCUUUUACUUGAAAGAGAUUUAGUUCACAGGCUUUGGUUCAAUCACUCUAUUUUAGAGCAAAUCUCUAUUUUUAGUUUGCUGCUUGUAGAGAACUCAUGCCAACAUGUGGAAAUACAACCUCCCUACAUGCUUAUAGUAUGAUGCUAGCUGAAAGACUGUACUAUCUGAGGUUUCUCAUCUCUGACAAGUAGUUCUCAGACUUUCCUGUUAGAGAAAGGAGAUAGCUGAGGGUAAACUGUAUCACUACCUUAGUCACCGGGACCCAGAAACGUCGUUUCAUUCGGAGUUUCUAAGACUAGGAAAACUCAUCUUUAAGUCUCCCUUCGUCUCCCCUCCCCCACUCCCCUUUAAAGUUACCAUUUUUGGAGAUGCCUCUCAUUUGCCAGGUCAUUUCUCACUGAAGCAUGACAACAACCCCGUGAGUUGAUAUUUUUAUCACCGUUUUACAGAUGGUUAAACUAAAGCCUGAAAAGAAACUGAAGCUUGGAGAGCUAAUAAGAGGCUGUGUCAUGAUUUGAAUGCGGUUGUCUUUUUAAUAUCUGUACAAGAUUAAUUUCCUGCUCUGUUGGAAUAAACUGCAUACCUAUGUGAUAUUUUAAAAGUUGAAUUACCUCAUUGGCUAAUUAUUAGAGACAGCUGUAGCUUGAUAGGUAGAAUUAUUUCACUUGACCAAUUUUCAGGGUAGAUAAAAUCAGAAAUUAAAUAGCUCUAUAAAUAUGUGUAAAAGUAUAUAGUUGUAACUUUAUAUUUAAAAUUCAUUUUAAGCUGUAAUUAUAAGGUUUAAAUUUU
ensembl:lncRNA